GCCACAAAAUCGCAACAAUAUUCUUUCUUCAUGUUCAUAAUUUUUUAUUACAACAAAGGUUAAUUAGAUAUCAAAUCAGGUCGCCGAAAAUAUUAGGGAAGCGAACGGCCGGCCACAAAAUAUCCAAGGAAUGAAGAUGACGUCCAACAAUCAGGAAAAGUUUCAGAGUCCUUUGAAAAAUCGAAGGGUGUUUUGUGUGCUAUUUUAAAGUCGGAAUGAAAAGUGGAGUUGAGGAAGUAAGCAAGUAAGGUGGGCUUUUUGUUUAAUAUGGAUUAUGUCCUAAAUAUGUUUUGAUGUGAAAGAUGAUGUAAUGUAUAUUUCUCGUGCCAUGUUUUUUUUAUUUCCUCUAUGGAACCCAGUAGCGGAUUCAAGGGGGGCAGGAGGGGGCGGUCGCCCCUCCCCGGCGGCCAAUAGAGCGAAUUUGUCCUUAGAUUUGGCCGGAAAAAUCCGUGGUCGCCCCCUCCGUCGAAAAAAAUUAAGAGAGAAGAAGACUCGUAAACUGAGCGAGCAGUGAAGAACGGUCCAAGGUCAGAAGGUGACUUGAGAUGAGAAGGUUAUCGGAAUAUGAAGACAAUGGAGUUCUCACCGGAAAUGGAGAUUUGAGGGUCUGCGCACAGUAGGGAAGAAGAAGACAAUAUAGUGGGUUGCAUACUUUGGGCCUGAUAAAUUAAUGGACCAAUAUAAAAAACUAGAGGGCGGCAUCAUUAUUAAGUCGGCCUAUUUUAUAAAUUUUGAUUUAAUAGAAUAGACUUAACAGA